GAUGAAGAACGCAGCGAAAUGCGGUACGUAAUGUGAAUUGCAGAAUUCAGUGAAUCAUCGAGUCUUUGAACGCACAUUGCGCCCCCUGGUAUUCCGGGGGGCAUGCCUGUCCGAGCGUCAUUGCUGCCCUCAAGCACGGCUUGUGUGUUGGGCCUCCGUCCUCCUCCCGGGGGACGGGCCCGAAAGGCAGCGGCGGCACCGCGUCCGGUCCUCGAGCGUAUGGGGCUUCGUCACCCGCUCUUGUAGGCCCGGCCGGCGCUUGCCGACACAUCAAUCUUUUUUCCAGGUUGACCUCGGAUCAGGUAGGGAUACCCGCUGAACUUAAGCAUAUCAAUAAGCGGAGGA
rnacentral:misc_RNA from 1 species